ACAUAUUAAAUUUUUCUUAAUUUAAAUAAGAACUAUAUUAAUUAUUGAAAUUAACUCACGUAUUUAUAUUUUAUUUAUUUAUCAUUUUUAAUUCAAACAACUGAAAGUGAAAGUUAUUCUCUCCAGCCAAAAACGUAAGUCAAGUUUUUCGACAGAUUUCUGAUGUUGAAGAGUUACGGAAGCGUAAUAGGGUUAUUAGCAAUAACUAAAAAAAUAAUAAAGGAAGGAUAGAACAAGUUUUAACAAAAAUAAAUUAAUAUAUCUUGGCUUAUAAGAAUUGAAGCAUGAGAAUAAAUUACUACAGACGAUAUUUAUAUAAAUUAUAUAUUAUGAAAAUAUGUAAAAUAGUGUCUGGUUAUAACUUAUAAUAUCAUAUUUGCAAAAAAAUCAUGGAAAAAAAGCCUCAGUCGACUUUGCUGAACUUAAAUAAAUUGUAGACUGAAGUAAAGGGAGCUUUAGCAAUGUCAUGAAAAACAGAUCAAUGAGGGGGCGUUUUAGGGGUGUUCAUUCUUCGUAGGCGUAAUUGUCCGUGGGUUAGCGUGAGCAAAAACAUCGAGUUAGUAGUCUAUUUUUAUACUCUACGUUACAAUAUCAAAGACAAUGGUUUAUUCUCCUUGUUUCCUUUUUUGUUGUUCGCUUCCUUCUCUAUUUCAAUGGCAUACGAUAACACGUAAUCAUUAAUUAAUAAGUUACGUUAUAAUA